ACACACGCACGUACCGGCUGCUCCGCAGGGACGUAGAGAGCCGCAGGCCCAAGGAGGGGCCGCCCCCGCCGAGCCCGCCCCUCCGCCCCAGCGCGGCCUGUCACCGCGGCCCCAGCUUCUUCUUGGUUUCUUCGUACAUUCUGGAUCCACCCCUUUCAUGCAUAUUCCAGACCACAUUUCCACUGGAGCAGUUGAAAUGAGAGAGAUGGGAAUGGGACUCACCCGAACCAGAGGAAUUUUUAUUACAGACCCAUUAACAGAGGUGUCAAAGUCACAGGAACAAGGAUGUGCACCUCAGAAACACAGAGGCUAGCCUGGCUGAAGCUCAGCUGCACAGAGUCUGUCCUGAGAAGCAGAAUGCCACUGUCCCCUGGGCCCUCCAGACUGCCAAGGCUGCUCAGUUUCAGAGAGCAGGCUCCCUGUGGCCUCACACGCCGGCUGCCAGCUGGGCCAGGUAACUCUGGCCAGGCUGCACUGUGAAGAACACGAGAGUCGGCGGAGACCUGUGCCUGCUCUUCUCAGCCUCAAUGUCUGGAAGACAAAAAAAGGCAUCCUGCUCCCAAGAUUGUGGUGGAGGCCAGCAGGGUGACGCACAUGAAAGCCACUGGAGAUAGAUGGCACUUGUUCCCACCCACUGCCCACAACAGGCCCAGGACUGCCUCAGCCCCGGUGGACCCCAGAGCCAGCAGGCCCUUCAGAAUGGAAGGUGCCAAACACCAUCGGAAGGCGUGGUUCUUUUCAGAGAACCAGACUCUGAGACUGUGGCCUCCCACUAUGAGUCACCACCUCUGAUUCCUGAGGUCCCCUCCAGUCAUUGGCUCUCUCCCAAGCCAGCCAGCUGAUCAGCCUUGAGGACAGCAGAGUGUCUGCCAAGAGAGAUCUGUGAAGUUUCCCAUCACCGUGGCAGUCCACAAUGUGAAGCCCCUGAGGCCACCCUUCUCCAUGUGUCCCCCACACUGUCCCUGACCCUCCCACCAUCCUAGAAAACCAGCCUCCCAGGUCCUCUGUCAUGGAAGUAAUUUACAGCAAGGCAGAAAGAGCUGAAAGAUUUAUAAAUGUGUAAAAUUUACAAAGGUGUUUCUUUCUUUCUUUCUUUCUUUUUUUUUUUUUUUUUUUUUGAGGCAGAGUCUCACUCUGUUGCCCAGGCUGGAGUGCAGUGGCACAAUUUUGGCUCACUGCAACCUCCGCCUCCCGGGUUCAAGUGAUUCUCCUGCCUCAGCCUCCCAAGUAGCUGGGAUUACAGGUGCAUGCCACCACGCCUAGCUAAUUUUUGUAUUUUUAGUAGAGACAGAGUUUUUUGCCAUGUUGGCCAGGCUGGUCUUGAACUCCUGACCUCAGGUGAUCUGCCUGCCUCAGCCUCCCAAAGUGCUGGGAUUACAGGCGUGAGUCACCGUGCCCGGCCUACAGAGGUGUUUCUGAGUGGAGAAACCACUGCCUGGUUGGACUGACUGCCCAGUUCCACCACCCUGUGAGCCCAUGAGUGAGCUCACUGCACUUGUUAUAGACAUCCUACCACCAGCAGCCUGAUUUUGCUGAGUCCGUAGCUUACAACUCCAAUCUCAUGGCCCUGCCUUUCACCUCACUUGCUGCCUUAAAAACCUGCAGACUGAGGUGGCGUAGAAGCUGUGACAUCCCAGUACCCAGAAGUUCAUCUCACACCCAGAUCUUGGUUUCUAAAUGUCAUUCUCUACUAAAAGGGACCAGGGCUGGUACAGGAGAAGAGCAAGAGCUUGGAAUAUCUUAUACCUGAGAGUAAGGAAGUGCUCAGAGAAUCACAGGAGCACGUUAAAAGGACAUAGAAGUCAGUUUAAUGAGACUGCUUCUGGCCAAAGUUGGAACACAUCAAACAUUAAAACAAUGAUGGUAAUGGAUUAGAUUCCAUAGAAUAAAAUCCUUGAGGACAUAGUUAUAUAAACAUAACUGAGGAAGAAGGAAAAGCUCUCCCUAACAGAAUAAUACAACUAGUAAAUGGGAAAGGAAAGGAGUUAGGAAUUCACGCUGGGUAUUGAAACUAGUGGGUGAAAGCUCAAUGAAUCGGAUUCUUAGUCUCAAUGUCUCUCCUCUCAAUUUAGUAAUUAUAGUGGAGUAAUCAUGACUUUACAGUGGAGAAACCUGGCCAACACUACCUUCACAACACUAACAAAAACCUUGCAGACCUGCAGCCUAAGCUCCCAGAAGUCACCUGCUGAAAUGCCUUCAAAGAGUGACCUCUCUGCGUGUAGUGCUCAGCAACUUGGGCUCAGUGUCUAUUUCCACAAGCUACAAACCAGAAUACAGUGGAAUUCAGCCCAUAUGUGGUAAUUUAUCUACCAAUCAAGGACCUUUGACUCCAAAAAUUACCUUUUUUGUACAAGUGACUACCUGGUGUAGAGCUCAGACAUGGCUUUGAAUUUUUGCCAUGCUGUGUGAGCUCAGGCAAGCUGCUUCACCUCUUUGAGCUUCAAUCUUUUAUCUAUAAAAUGGGAAUAACAAUAACUUAAUGAAACAGCAAUUCCAGUGUUAGGUAUUUCCUCAGGAGAAAUGAAAACACGUUCACACAAAUAAUUGUACAUGUAUGUUUCUACACGCUUUAUUCAUAAUAGUCAUAAACAACCUAAAUAUUCAUCAACUGGUUAGCAGAGAAAAGAGCAAACCACUGAUGACAUGAACGAAUUUCAGAAGCACUGUGCUCAGUGAAAGAAGCCAGACAAAAAUUACAUCUUACAUAAAUUUCAUUUAUAUGAAAUUCUAGUGAAGGCAAAACAUAUAGCCAGGGGCCAAGAGGGGAGGAUGGUCUGCAAAGAGGCAGGAACUUCUUCCUGGGGUGAUGGGAAUAUUCUGUGUCAUGAACAUCGUGAUUGUGGUUACAAGACUAUACUUUUGUCAAAACUCAUCAAAUUGUACACCUAAAAUGGAUGCAUUAAGCCUCAAUACAGCCAAUAAAAGAUACCUACGUUACAGUAUCUUCUGAGGAGUAAUGGGGUGAUAUAUAUGCAGCCCCAAGUUCAGUGCCUGUGGUGAGAGGAGUCCUAAAAUAGUACCUGUGACCACGCCCCACGGUCUUAGACCUGGGCAGGGCAACUGUGCAGACAGCAGGCCCAGCC
rnacentral:lncRNA from 10 species